rnacentral:rRNA from 1 species
CCCCUAGAUGUUCUGGGCCGCACGCGCGCUACACUGAACAGUUCAACAAGUCUUAACCUUGGCCGAUAGGUCUGGGUAAUCUUUGAACGCUGUUCGUGGUUGGGAUAGACCUUUGCAAUUAUGGGUCUUCAACGAGGAAUUCCUAGUAAACGCAAGUCAUCAGCUUGCAUUGAUUACGUCCCUGCCCUUUGUACACACCGCCCGUCGCACCUACCGAUUGAAUGGUCCGGUGAAAUCUCGGGACGGCGGCUUGGUCGCUUGCGUCCGACUGCUGAAACUUGAUUAAACCAUAUCAUUUAGAGGAAGGUGAANUCGUAACA